GAAUGCCUUUUCGGAUAGAUUGAUGAACCCAACUGUUUUUCUGUACUGAUACUCAUCUUAUGCCAAAUUUUAUACAGAAAACUCUACUAGUCUUUUUCUCACCAGGCUUUAAUGUGGUUAACAUUCAUCACAUCCUACUGACCACUGUGUUUUACUGAUGAGCUAUUUUACUUUUGCUGCUGCAGGCUUCACUUCUUAAGGCUGUAGGUAUACUGCUCAGUGUAUUUCCAAAGAAAAGUCCAUAUCAACUUGUUCACAAUGUCAGGCUGAUCUUCUUGGAGCCAAUGGCUGGCUUCAGACAGAACAGAUCUCCUAUCACAAUUUCUUAACUGGGCAAGGUGUGGGGUGUGAGCCAUCAGACAUUUUUUAUACUCCAUCAUGCAACAGCUGAAGAAAUUCCAAGCCCACAAGUGGAAAAUGUGACUAGAUUGCUGAAUUUGGAGAUUUCUGGAACGUUCCCAACAACAGUAGAUCCUCUCUGAAGAUGUCACUGGAAUCUGAUACUGUUCUUUGUGUGUGAUAGGCUCAUAUUCUAGCAAAUGUUGGAGACUUGAGGGAACACAGAUAAUAUACAGUGUGUGUUCAAAG